rnacentral:lncRNA from 1 species
CCGCGACACCCCUCACUCCUACCUCCUCCUCGUCCUUCUCCUUCUGCGCCCUAGGAGCCCCCCGCCGCCGCCGCCGACUGCUACUCCUCCUCGCCCCUUCCUCUAUGUUUCUCUCCUCCUCCUGCUCGCCGCCACCUCCCCUCCCGCCUCAUCUCCAUUUCCCGAUCUGGCAGGCAGAGGAGGAGAGAAAGGAGAGGGAUGGUGGGAUCCGAUGGAUCUGCUCGGGAGCUCGAGGUGCUCAGCCCCGCUGCUCCUCACGCCUUCUCCGCCGCGCUCGGGGAGGGUCGCCGCCAAGGGUGGGGAGCACGAGCUCGGGGGAGGGCUGGAUCCAGCGACUACGCACUCGGGAGCCUCCCCGCGCCACUGUGUCGUGGUCGCCGCGGCAGGGGUCCAGCAGCAGUCGCACGGGGCAGCUGGAUCCACAGGAGCUCGUGUUCGGGGUCACCGUGGAUGGACUCUGAAUUUUAGGGUCUCCGACAUGGAAAUGGUGCAUUUCAGGUGUUGAAGUCAGCUGAGGCCUUUUUCCGUGCAUCUAAUCUAUCAUGUAACACCGAUUCUGUGUCAUUUUCUAUUGGUGUAAGAAUCAUAUUAAUCUUCCACAUGUUCGUUUUGUAUAUAACAUCAGGACAGAGACCCACACUCAUAUGUCAUUUUCUUGUGCUUAUGUUGCUUCCAUAUUGUCGCAAGUAAGAUAUGUUGCUGAUCCAGGCUCCAGUAGACCCAUUAUUCCUUCAAUGAUGUUCCUCUUCGAUUUGUUUGUGCAGCAUCACCAACUCAACUCCAUGCAUAUGCAGAUGCAGGGGGGAGGAGAGGACCACUACUUUGAUUCUCUGAUUUUUUUUGUGAGAAUUAAGAUGGGUGGCUUCUCGUGUAGAACUCAGUUUACAUAUAUUUUUUAUUUUAUAACUAGACCUAUGCUUUUAUCAGGUUUUCUUAUGAUGUGUUCAUAUUCUGUAGGAAGAGCAUCUUCAUAUCAGGAAGAAAAAUCGUGGGUGGAAGCUACUGACCAUGAGGAUUUACAUCAGUGACCUUCACUCGGGUUGUAAGUAGGAUAUAAUGCAGUAAAGACUUCUAUUCUUGCGAGUCUGGUUAGAUGCACUUGUGAAUGGCUGCUAAGAAAAAAGGCCUCGGAGUGUAGAGAAGGUUUCUGAGAUAUGCAUGCCAAAUAUCUAGCUACUUUGGCAUUUUUGUAGGUAGAUCUGUAGAUAUAAAUAAAGUUGGUUCUAUUGUGAUACUCUCAAUUUCUUCCAGUGUAUGAUAUUCUGAAGGUUGGGGAAUAUAUAUUUACACGAGAUAAAUUAUGAUAUACUCAUGUUUCUUGAACCAUUAAUGACCAUCACUACAUCAAGAUGGCUGGUGAGUAAAGCGUGUCAUGUGUUCCAUGAUGUGUUACCAUAUAUAUACUACUUGCAGGAAUUUUAUAUGUUGAUUAGCAUACUCUCACUCUAAUGUAUACAUUGCAUGUGUAUGUUCUAAGAGGAGCACAAUUUCAGAAGAGUAUUUUUUUAUUUGAAGUGGUUUGAUUUUCUAUCGAGACUUUAUAUCUAGCAUCAUUUUGG